rnacentral:rRNA from 1 species
CUCUGUUGUGAGGGAAGAACACGUACCAACUAACUAUUGGUACCUUGACGGUACCUCACCAGAAAGCCACGGCUAACUACGUGCCAGCAGCCGCGGUAAUACGUAGGUGGCAAGCGUUGUCCGGAAUUAUUGGGCGUAAAGCGCGCGCAGGCGGUUCCUUAAGUCUGAUGUGAAAGCCCACGGCUCAACCGUGGAGGGUCAUUGGAAACUGGGGAACUUGAGUGCAGAAGAGGAAAGUGGAAUUCCACGUGUAGCGGUGAAAUGCGUAGAGAUGUGGAGGAACACCAGUGGCGAAGGCGACUUUCUGGUCUGUAACUGACGCUGAGGCGCGAAAGCGUGGGGAGCAAACAGGAUUAGAU